CAUCGCCUCUUGCAAUUAAGGUAUAAGAGGUCCUGCCUGCCCAGUGACAUUAAGUUUAACGGCCGCGGUAUUAUGACCGUGCAAAGGUAGCGUAAUCACUUGUCUUUUAAAUAAAGACCAGUAUGAAUGGCAAGACGAAAGUUCAACUGUCUCCCUAAAUUAAUCAGUGAAAUUGAUUUCUCCGUGCAGAAGCGGAGAUAAAAUUAUAAGACGAGAAGACCCUAUGGAGCUUUAAACAUAUAAUCAAUUGUAUUCCAUAAAAUCCGAAAGAUAAAAUAUAAAAUAAAACAAUAUGAUUAAAAUUUUAGGUUGGGGCGACCACGGAGAAAAACAAAACCUCCGAGAUGAAAAGAAUAUCUUAAUUUAAGAACCACAAUUCCAAAAAAUAAAAUAUUUAACAUAAUUGAUCCAAUAUUUUGAUCAACGAACCAAGUUACCCUAGGGAUAACAGCGCAAUCCUCUCCAAGAGUCCCUAUCGACGAGUGGGUUUACGACCUCGAUGUUGGAUCAGGACACCCCGAUGGUGCAGCCGCUAUUAAAGGUUCGUUU
rnacentral:rRNA from 1 species